rnacentral:tRNA from 1 species
GCGUCCAUCGUCUAAUGGAUAGGACAGGGGUCUUCUAAGCCCCUAGUAUGGGUUCAAAUCCUAUUGGACGCA